rnacentral:rRNA from 1 species
GGUAGUCCACGCUGUAAACGAUGUCGAUUUGGAGGUUGUGCCCUUGAGGCGUGGCUUCCGGAGCUAACGCGUUAAAUCGACCGCCUGGGGAGUACGGCCGCAAGGUUAAAACUCAAAUGAAUUGACGGGGGCCCGCACAAGCGGUGGAGCAUGUGGUUUAAUUCGAUGCAACGCGAAGAACCUUACCUACUCUUGACAUCCAGAGAACUUUCCAGAGAUGGAUUGGUGCCUUCGGGAACUCUGAGACAGGUGCUGCAUGGCUGUCGUCAGCUCGUGUUGUGAAAUGUUGGGUUAAGUCCCGCAACGAGCGCAACCCUUAUCCUUUGUUGCCAGCGGUUCGGCCGGGAACUCAAAGGAGACUGCCAGUGAUAAACUGGAGGAAGGUGGGGAUGACGUCAAGUCAUCAUGGCCCUUACGAGUAGGGCUACACACGUGCUACAAUGGCAUAUACAAAGAGAAGCGACCUCGCGAGAGCAAGCGGACCUCAUAAAGUAUGUCGUAGUCCGGAUUGGAGUCUGCAACUCGACUCCAUGAAGUCGGAAUCGCUAGUAAUCGUAGAUCAGAAUGCUACGGUGAAUACGUUCCCGGGCCUUGUACACACCGCCCGUCACACCAUGGGAAGUGGGUUGCAAAAGAAGUAGGUAGCUUAACCUUCGGGAGGGCGCUUACCACUUUGUGAU